rnacentral:rRNA from 1 species
UGCCAGCAGCCGCGGUAAUACGGAGGGGGCUAGCGUUGUUCGGAAUUACUGGGCGUAAAGCGCUCGUAGGCGGAUUGGUCAGUCAGAGGUGAAAGCCCAGGGCUCAACCUUGGAAUUGCCUUUGAUACUGCCAGUCUUGAGUUCGGGAGAGGUGAGCGGAAUUCCGAGUGUAGAGGUGAAAUUCGUAGAUAUUCGGAGGAACACCAGAGGCGAAGGCGGCUCACUGGCUCGGUACUGACGCUGAGAUGCGAAGGCGUGGGUAGCGAACGGGAUUAGAUA